GACUUUCCUAGCAUCUGUCUGACGUCGGGUUGAAAGAGUGAGUGUGCGUGGCGACGCGGUUGCGGGUACACGUGUUAGUGUGUGGUUUGACUUCCUUCCUUCUCAACUCGUCUCAUCGAUAAAGUUUAUGGUUGAAUCUCGAGGGAACACGGGCGGGAAUGGAGGGAGGUGAUAAAGGAUUCCCACCGUUGCCCCUUCGCCACUCCCAGCCUGCAUAACGAGAGUAACACAAGAGGCUAAGGACACCACACAAUGUACACCUGCAAGAAAGAUCGAAAGAAAUAAGAACACGACGAAAGAAAAGAGAGAGAGAGAGAGAGAGAGAGAGAGAGAGAGAGAGAGAGAGAGAGAGA